rnacentral:rRNA from 1 species
UACGUAGGGUGCAAGCGUUAAUCGGAAUUACUGGGCGUAAAGCGUGCGCAGGCGGUUGGGCAAGACAGGGGUGAAAUCCCCGGGCUUAACCUGGGAAUGGCCUUUGUGACUGCACGGCUAGAGUGUGUCAGAGGGGGGUAGAAUUCCACGUGUAGCAGUGAAAUGCGUAGAGAUGUGGAGGAAUACCGAUGGCGAAGGCAGCCCCCUGGGAUAACACUGACGCUCAGGCACGAAAGCGUGGGGAGCAAACAGG